rnacentral:rRNA from 1 species
AUUGAACGCUGGCGGCAUGCCUUACACAUGCAAGUCGAACGGCAGCACGGGAGCAAUCCUGGUGGCGAGUGGCGAACGGGUGAGUAAAGUAUCGGAACGUGCCCAGUCGUGGGGGAUAACGUAGCGAAAGUUACGCUAAUACCGCAUACGAUCUACGGAUGAAAGCGGGGGAUCGCAAGACCUCGCGCGAUUGGAGCGGCUGAUAUCGGAUAAGGUAGUUGGUGGGGGAAAGGCUCACCAAGCCGACGAUCGGUAGCUGGGCUGAGCGGACGACCAGCCACACUGGGACUGAGACACGGCCAAGACUCCUGCGAGAGGCAGCAGUGGGGAAUUGUGGACAAUGGGCGCAAGCCUGAUCCAGCCAGGCCGCGUGCAGGAUGAAGGCCUUCGGGUUGUAAACUGCUUUUGUACGGAACGAAAAGGUUUGGCCUAAUAAGCUGGACCCAUGACGGUACCGUAAGAAUAAGCACCGGCUAACUACGUGCCAGCCGCCGCAGUAA